rnacentral:rRNA from 1 species
UACGUAGGGGGCAAGCGUUAUCCGGAAUUAUUGGGCGUAAAGCGUCCGCAGGUGGCACUUCAAGUCUGUCGUCAAAGACUGGGGCUUAACCCUGGAAAGGCGGUGGAAACUGAAGCGCUAGAGUGCGGUAGGGGUAGAGGGAAUUCCCGGUGUAGCGGUGAAAUGCGUAGAGAUCGGGAAGAACAUCGGUGGCGAAAGCGGCAUCCUGGACCAAUACUGACGCUGAGGAGCGAAAGCCAGGGGAGCAAACGGG